UGGGGAAUAUUGCGCAAUGGGGGAAACCCUGACGCAGCGAUGCCGCGUGGGUGAAGAAGGCCUUCGGGUUGUAAAGCCCUUUCAGUGGGGAAGAUAGUGACGGUACCCACAGAAGAAGCUCCGGCUAACUCCGUGCCAGCAGCCGCGGUAAUACGGAGGGGGCGAGCGUUGUUCGGAAUUAUUGGGCGUAAAGGGCGCGUAGGCGGUGCAGUAAGUCAGGAGUGAAAAUCUCAGGCUUAACCUGGGACGGGCUUUUGAAACUGCAGCACUAGAGACAGGCAGAGGGUGGUGGAAUUCCCCGUGUAGAGGUGAAAUUCGUAGAUAUGGGGAGGAAGACCGGAGGCGAAGGCGGCCACCUGGACCUGAACUGACGCUGAGGCGCGAAAGCGUGGGGAGCAAACAGG
rnacentral:rRNA from 1 species